rnacentral:rRNA from 1 species
UACGGGGGGAGCAAGCGUUGUUCGGAUUUACUGGGCGUAAAGGGCGCGUAGGCGGCACCGCAAGUCGACUGUGAAAUCUCCGGGCUUAACCCGGAAAGGUCAGCCGAUACUGCGGGGCUAGAGUGCAGAAGGGGCAACUGGAAUUCUCGGUGUAGCGGUGAAAUGCGCAGAUAUCGGGAGGAACACCUAUUGCGAAGGCAGCUCGCUGGGACGUCACUGACGCUGAGACGCGAAAGCGUGGGGAGCAAACAGG